CGGAUGAAGGAUUGGAUAACGGGUAAACACUGUCCUCAGCCCCAAAAUUACAAGAAUGAAAUUCCCAAAAUCCCCAGAUUCUCAAUUUCAGAGAACCCUAAAUCCCAAUUCGCGAAAACAUAACUCCAAUUCGCGCUUCCCAUAUACGGAAAAGAAAUCAAAAGUGACCACCCCAAAUCUCGAGCCAAAACGCGUUCUCCCUUUGUCGUGAAAACGCUGGAGAGGAAACCCUUUCGCCACGAAGACAUCGACGCUAUGGCACCCACUGCCACAAAGAGAUCGCUACACUUGAACCACCGGAAGCUCGCCGCAAAGACGCUAAAGCACUGAGUGUCGCGAAAAAAGUGCCGUAGAGAAGCCACUGCUUUGACGCCCAUUGGUCGCGAAGAUGGUUGUCGCCUCUUUCGCACUCCCCUUCCCUUCAACCAGAAAAGCACCAUAAACAAGAGGAAGAAGAGUGCCUUUCCCUAUCUAUCAAGUCGCAUUUUGGUACUCCAACUAUUUCCUGUUGAAAGAGCUUUUUUAGGAAGUAAAUGAGAUGUGGGCAGGUUUGGGCUACUACCGAAGAGCUCGUUUUCUUCUAGAGGUGCUUCCUCAUGACAAUUGACUUGUGUGUUCAUCUCCUUCUCCUGUUUAUCUUUUACUAGAUCCUACAAGUUACCCUAAUGGUCAAUUUGAGAUUGUUUUUGAAAUAGUUAAUUAUGGUGUUAAACCUUCUUCAUUAUCUUGUUUCUGCCUUCUUAAUAAAAGCAGCAAAAGGCAAGGCAUUGAAUGCGUGCAUCAAAAUCUCAUAGUUCAUGAACUGGAUAUUGCAAACAUAGAGUAUCUGAAGCUUUUCAUGUCAACAACACAUCGGAGUGGAUUGCAUUCUCUGAGAGGAUUGGACGAUCAAAAGAAAGCAGAGUAAGGAAGGACGACCGACCCUCGGACAAAUUCAACCGAAACAUUUUGGCACCCAUCCUGGAACCGAGCGGCAUCCCCAUGAAAUCACGAGUAACCAGACGUGCGUUCAGUCUCGAUAUCGCUACUUCGGAUACUAGGUUUUGCAACAAGAGCAAAAAAUUCCAUAAUAAUUUCUAAAGACAUGUCUUUGUUUUGAGAACUUUCAGGAAGGUUCAAUCGCUUGGUCGGUUAGCCCAUCAAAGUUGAACCUUGUCAAGUUCUAAUA